rnacentral:rRNA from 1 species
UCCGGUUGAUCCUGCCGGCGGUCACUGCUAUCGAGUUUCGACUAAGCCAUGCGAGUCACAGGCCGAAAGGUACUGGCGGACGGCUCAGUAACACGCGGAUAAUCUACCUUCAGGUGGGGUAUACCCUUGGGAAACUGAGGCUAAUCCCCCAUAGGUCCUGUAAACUGGAAUGUUUUAGGACUGAAAGUCACGGCGCCUGAGGAUGAGUCUGCGGCCUAUCAGGUAGUAGGUGGGGUAAAGGCCCACAUAGCCUAUGACGGGUACGGGCCCUGAGAGGGGUAGCCCGGAGAUGGGUUCUGAGACACGAACCCAGGCCCUACGGGGCGCAGCAGGCGUGAAACCUUCGCAAUGCGCGCAAGCGCGACGAGGGGAACUCGAGUGCUAUUAUCCUUUUGGGUGAUAGCUUUUCUCGAUCCUAAAAAGAUCGGGGAAUAAAAGCUGGGUAAGACGGGUGCCAGCCGCCGCGGUAAUACCCGCAGCUCAAGUGGUGGCCACUAUUAUUGAGCCUAAAGCGUCCGUAGCCGGUCUUGUAAAUCUCUGGGUAAAUCCCAUCGCUCAACGGUGGGAAGACUGGAGAGACUGCAAGACUAGGGAUCGGGUGAGGUAAGAGGUACUCCUGGGGUAGGGGUAAAAUCCUGUAAUCCUGGGGGGACGACCGGUGGCGAAGGCGUCUUACUAGAACGACUCCGACGGUGAGGGACGAAGGCUAGGGGAGCAAACCGGAUUAGAUACCCGGGUAGUCCUAGCUGUAAACGCUGCCCACUUGGUGUUGCCCUUUCGUAGGGAAGGGGCAGUGCCGGAGCGAAGGUGUUAAGUGGGCCGCUUGGGGAGUAUGGUCGCAAGGCUGAAACUUAAAGGAAUUGGCGGGAGAGCACCGCAACGGGAGGAGCGUGCGGUUUAAUUGGAUUCAACGCCGGG